AAGACCUUUGCACUUUUGGAGCGGCCGAUGUCUGAUUAGCUAGUUGGUAGGGUAAUGGCCUACCAAAGCUUCGAUCAGUAGCUGGUCUGAGAGGACGGCCAGCCACACUGGGACUGAGACACGGCCCAGACUCCUACGGGAGGCAGCAGUGGGGAAUUUUGGACAAUGGGCGCAAGCCUGAUCCAGCCAUGCCGCGUGAGUGAAGAAGGCCUUCGGGUUGUAAAGCUCUUUCAGCCGGGAAGAAAAGGUUGCGAUUAAUAAUCGUAAUUUAUGACGGUACCGGAAGAAGAAGCACCGGCUAACUACGUGCCAGCAGCCGCGGUAAUACGUAGGGUGCGAGCGUUAAUCGGAAUUACUGGGCGUAAAGGGUGCGCAGGCGGUUUUGUAAGUCAGAUGUGAAAUCCCCGGGCUUAACCUGGGAACU
rnacentral:rRNA from 1 species